UACGUAGGGUGCAAGCGUUGUCCGGAAUUAUUGGGCGUAAAGAGCUCGUAGGCGGUUUGUCGCGUCUGCUGUGAAAACUCGGGGCUUAACCCCGGGCCUGCAGUGGGUACGGGCAGACUAGAGUGCGGUAGGGGAGAGCUGGAAUUCCUGGUGUAGCGGUGAAAUGCGCAGAUAUCAGGAGGAACACCGGUGGCGAAGGCGGGUCUCUGGGCCGUAACUGACGCUGAGGAGCGAAAGCGUGGGGAGCGAACAGG
rnacentral:rRNA from 1 species